rnacentral:rRNA from 1 species
GCUUAUAGCCACACUGCCUGGUUCACGGCUGAUCUCGUUUGAUCUCGGAAGCUAAGAUAGGUUAGGCCUGGUUAGUACUUGGAUGGGAGACCGCCUGGGAAUACCAGGUGCUGUAAGCU